rnacentral:rRNA from 1 species
GUGCCAGCCGCCGCGGUAACACGUAGGGGGCGAGCGUUGUCCGGAUUUAUUGGGCGUAAAGAGCUCGUAGGCGGUUUCGUAAGUCGGGUGUGAAAACCCCAGGCUCAACCUGGAGACGCCACCCGAGACUGCGAUGACUAGAGUCCGGUAGGGGAGCGUGGAAUUCCUGGUGUAGCGGUGAAAUGCGCAGAUAUCAGGAGGAACACCAACGGCGAAGGCAGCGCUCUGGGCCGGAACUGACGCUGAGGAGCGAAAGCGUGGGUAGCGAACAGGAUUAGAUACCCCAGUAGUCC